GUCAAAGUUGAAAUUAGUACAAAACAUUGGACCAGCAUGAAGAAGGAGCAAUGUAAAAGGUUUCGUUUUUAUAAGGCAUCAUCAGACCGGUAUUAACAUUGUGUUUGGAUAUUGUUGGGUCUCUGUAGGUCCUCAAAAAGUAAUGAAAAUGGAGAUAUCAAUCUUGCAGCUACAGUUGUGUUUACAUAUAGUUAGCUAACAUGUUUCAUAGCUAACCAUACAACGUUAGCCUUUAAUACUUAAUUACAGUAUAAGUUACAGCUAACUGUCUUAUUACGUUCUGUCAUGAGCACGGACACCUAAUGUCACUUAUUCGACAGAUGGGAAGAGCGACAAAGCACAGACCUCUGCAGAGGAAGCAAGAAUGUAUUUUCACCCCCUGGAGAAGAGACCUCUGCAGUUGGUAGAGAGUCUCUUGGAGGAUAGCGUACUGGAGGACUUCCUGGUUGACUGUGAAAGCUUGAUCACUUCUGCCAAUUACAAAGACAGUUGAGGAGAGAUCUAUUGUGAAGCUGUGUGGCUAUCCUGUCUGUUCAAAUAAACUGGGCUAGGUCCCCACUCAACAGUUAAACAUUUCCACCAACACCAAUAAAGUCAAUGACAUUACAGAACGCAAGUCCUUCUGCAGUAAUUCUGCUACAAAGCCUCCAAGUCAUUUGAGCUGCAGAUUUCAAAGAGCCAUCUAUGAUUGAGGCAGCACGAGAGAUGUAAACUUAAUGAAUAAAGGAGAUUGCGGUAGCACUGGAGAGGAGGAGAGGCUGACUGAGGUGUUUCAGAGAGGAGGAUGUGAGGAACCUUCCCCUGUACUCUGUGGCCCCAGAGAACCCCAGAUGAUCCCGUACAGCCGGUCACAGCGACACAGAACAGCACUUUGUUUCCAGCGUAGUCUCCCAGCAACAGUUACCCAGGGUGCACUGGGGCAGUCUGCCCAAGCACACCAACGAAGGUGAGGGGGGGAGGGGAGGGAACGAGAAGAGGGAGAGAAGGUCGGGAGGGAAGGACACAAAGAUGCCAAAACAAACAAACAAGGCUGAAGACAAGAAAGAGGAGAAUACAGAAGAAUCACAGAAAGAACCAACAAAGACAAUCAAUGACAUAGGUGGACCCCAACAACACACAACAGGUACAAACCACCCCAGUGAGCAGUAGCCUUUCCUGGAAGAGAGAGGCUCACCAGAGGGCCGGUCUAUGGAGGAUGCCGCAGCACUACUGAGCCAAGUCACAAUGCAGGAUAGAGAUCCAGUCACGGUUACAUCUUCUGUACUAACAACCGUCAACACAGUGCGUGUACAGAAUCAAGAUCCAGCUCCAACUCCCAACCCUCAGUGGGACUCAACCCCAGCACAGCCCACCCAGCCGGGCCUCAGGAUCACCCAGGUGGGCAUGAGCAGGAGGGGGGCCCAGGGGCUCCUCAAGGGCCACGAAACUACUCCAAAACCUGGCUCGGUCUGACUGAACCUUCUAGAAGUCCUAUGGAGUUCCUUCGACGAAUGGUGGACUGAGGAGACUAUGAAGUUCCUAUAUGGCCCAGACCACUUUAAUAAAACAACAGUAGAAACGAAGAAGAAAAAGGAGGAGGAGGAAGAAGAACUGGAUGAAGAUAAGCUGGAGGAUGUUGUAGAAGGGGUUGGGGAUGGAGGGGACGGCGGGUCCCCAGAGGGUCAGGGAGUUCUACAAAGGGGAGCCCACUGGGUGUCAGGGAAAUGGGCCCUGAGACUCAGAGGUGAGUGGGGGAUAAGUGUAGUGUAGUAACCGUCAGUGUCCAGAUGGGGGCACUAUGUAUAAGCAUUGGAGAUGUUAAGUGUGAUGAUGAUGAUGGUCUUGUUUUUGAGGUUGGCUUUUACCAUGAAUAUGUUUUUUUGUCUCACUUCACUUCUUUCCCUCACUCUGUGUCUCCUCUCCUUUCCCAUCUAUGCUCUCUCUCCUUUCACACUCUUUCUCCUGUUUCACGCUCUUUCUCUCAUGCUCUCUCUCCACCCCACCCCCCCACCCAGGACCAGGGUGGUUGGUUGAUUCCCAUGCCUAGCACCUCAUACAGAAACACAUAAUGGUUGAGAAGCUCACUAGAGGGUGUGUGUGUCUGUAUGAAAAUGCUGCUACGGUUUUCAAAGUUCAAAAAACUGUUUUAUGCAAUGGAAAUGUGGUCACUGAUGUGCUGAUAGUUGACAACCAGCAAUAUUACAGAAGCAUUGGUAAGUACUAGCUCGGUCUUGUUGAACUUCGCAUCUCAGCAACUUAAGAAAUUAAAUCAAGUUCUGUGUAUAUGUGUGUGUAUUUAUAUGUCCGGUUUUCCUCAUCUGGGGAAACGUCUCACCAUGACUGACAUCUCCAGUGACCACAUCAGCCUGGUCAGGACCUUCAGGUCAGUGCCAAUGUCAACUCUGAGAGUUAAAGGGCCAAUCCUUAAUUGAAACAAUAAAAAAUGCCUCCCCACCUCUGUUUUGGUAAAAAGCUGAAGGAUGGGCCUGGAGAAAUGUAACUCUUCUCAAAUUCAUAGACAGAGCUAUGGAUGCAAGGCCUGAGCGUCCUAGAUUAGAGUUUCAAGCAUGUUUUGAGGCAAUACAGUGUUUGUUUAUAUUUGAAAUCUAAUUGUAUUGGUCGCAUACACAUAUUUAGCAGAUGCUACUGAAGAUGUAGCUAAAUGCUUGUUUACUAACAUUGGAGUGAAACAAGCUUAUAUUUUGGGUUCUGAUGGGGUAUGACAUUUGAACUUAGCUAAUAAAGCAAUUUCUAAGUUAUAUUCUUCAAGAAUCAAUGGGUAUGUAUCAUUAAUUUAUAAGUACAAAAAUGGAUGUAUUACACCGCAGACUGCUGUUUUAACACACCAUUUCCUACUACAGUGUCCAAUACUGUCUGGGAGAGAAACUGG
ensembl:lncRNA